rnacentral:rRNA from 1 species
AGAAUCAACGCUGGCGGCGUGCCUAACACAUGCAAGUCGAACGAGAAAGGGGUAGCAAUACCCUGAGUAAAGUGGCGCACGGGUGAGUAACACGUGACUAACCUACCCUGGAGUGGGGGAUAACUGAGGGAAACCUUAGCUAAUACCGCAUAAUACCUACGGGUCAAAGGAGCAAUUCGCUUUGGGAGGGGUCGCGGCCGAUUAGUUAGUUGGCGGGGUAAUGGCCCACCAAGACGAUGAUCGGUAUCCGGCCUGAGAGGGCGCACGGACACACUGGAACUGAAACACGGUCCAGACUCCUACGGGAGGCAGCAGUGGGGAAUUUUGCGCAAUGGGGGAAACCCUGACGCAGCAACGCCGCGUGGAGGAUGAAGUACUUCGGUACGUAAACUCCUUUCGAUCGGGACGAUUAUGACGGUACCGAGAGAAGAAGCCCCGGCUAACUUCGCGCCAGCAGCCGC